GUGACCAAUGCUCUUCCUGCCUAACCCUACAGGCCAGUAAUUUCCCUCGACUGUCCUUGGCUGUACAGAAGAAGGACUUGCUAAUGCUGGGUGCCUGCCUGUGCUCUGCGAUGAGAUGCAGCAAAAUCCAGUCCUCAAGCCUCCUUCCUACGAUCAGCAGAAAUCAUCAAUAGAAUUGUUUACGAAAAUCCUAAAAAAGCUGUACAGACCACACCAACAAUGAACCUGGCCGCUGUUGGGAUGUGUGCACUGUGCCAUGAUCCAUGAAGGGGCUCAUCCAGGACUGUGAUAGGGUUACCAGCAUCAGCAGGGAGAUCCCAAAGGAACCUCCUUGGUGCAAAACAAGAUGCUGGGAGAUCCUUCUAUUUUCAGCAUCGCUUUGGUUUUGUGAAAAU